CCAAAUCCAUUAAAUGUCUUGUCUAUUUCUCCUUGGCAUGAUCCUUAGCUCUAUAUAAUCAGUUCAGUUUAUACAGUGAAUAAUGUAUGGUUGGCUUCCCAAGUAAGAGAGGUAGACCUUAAAGGACAUAGUCGACCAAGUCUUUUCCUUAGCCAGAACCCAACCGAAUACAACUACUCAAUGUAUCCAACUUCCCUUCUUUUAUUGGGGAUUUAACACUUAAUAUCUAAUCAACGUUGUUGUUUCUCUCCUUAAUAG
rnacentral:lncRNA from 1 species